rnacentral:sRNA from 1 species
GCCGGGCGUGGUGGUGCACACCUGUAACCCCGGCAACUCAGGAGGCUGAGGCAGGAGGAUUGCAAGUUCAAACCAGCCUCAGCAACUUAGCAAGACCCUGUUUCAA